UGAUGAACGCUAGCGACAGGCUUAACACAUGCAAGUCGAGGGUCAGCGGGGGUAGCGAUACCCGCCGGCGACCGGCGCACGGGUGAGUAACGCGUAUGCAACUUGCCUAUCAGAGGGGGAUAACCCGGCGAAAGUCGGACUAAUACCGCAUGAAGCAGGGGCCCCGCAUGGGGAUAUUUGCUAAAGAUUCAUCGCUGAUAGAUAGGCAUGCGUUCCAUUAGGCAGUUGGCGGGGUAACGGCCCACCAAACCGACGAUGGAUAGGGGUUCUGAGAGGAAGGUCCCCCACAUUGGUACUGAGACACGGACCAAACUCCUACGGGAGGCAGCAGUGAGGAAUAUUGGUCAAUGGCCGAGAGGCUGAACCAGCCAAGUCGCGUGAGGGAUGAAGGUUCUAUGGAUCGUAAACCUCUUUUAUAAGGGAAUAAAGUGCGGGACGUGUCCCGUUUUGUAUGUACCUUAUGAAUAAGGAUCGGCUAACUCCGUGCCAGCAGCCGCGGUAAUACGGAGGAUCCGAGCGUUAUCCGGAUUUAUUGGGUUUAAAGGGUGCGUAGGCGGCCUUUUAAGUCAGCGGUGAAAGUCUGUGGCUCAACCAUAGAAUUGCCGUUGAAACUGGGGGGCUUGAGUAUGUUUGAGGCAGGCGGAAUGCGUGGUGUAGCGGUGAAAUGCAUAGAUAUCACGCAGAACCCCGAUUGCGAAGGCAGCCUGCCAAGCCAUUACUGACGCUGAUGCACGAAAGCGUGGGGAUCAAACAGGAUUAGAUACCCUGGUAGUCCACGCAGUAAACGAUGAUCACUAGCUGUUUGCGAUACACUGUAAGCGGCACAGCGAAAGCGUUAAGUGAUCCACCUGGGGAGUACGCCGGCAACGGUGAAACUCAAAGGAAUUGACGGGGGCCCGCACAAGCGGAGGAACAUGUGGUUUAAUUCGAUGAUACGCGAGGAACCUUACCCGGGUUUGAACGCAUUCGGACCGAGGUGGAAACACCUUUUCUAGCAAUAGCCGUUUGCGAGGUGCUGCAUGGUUGUCGUCAGCUCGUGCCGUGAGGUGUCGGCUUAAGUGCCAUAACGAGCGCAACCCUUGCCACUAGUUACUAACAGGUAAAGCUGAGGACUCUGGUGGGACUGCCAGCGUAAGCUGCGAGGAAGGCGGGGAUGACGUCAAAUCAGCACGGCCCUUACAUCCGGGGCGACACACGUGUUACAAUGGCGUGGACAAAGGGAGGCCACCUGGCGACAGGGAGCGAAUCCCCAAACCACGUCUCAGUUCGGAUCGGAGUCUGCAACCCGACUCCGUGAAGCUGGAUUCGCUAGUAAUCGCGCAUCAGCCAUGGCGCGGUGAAUACGUUCCCGGGCCUUGUACACACCGCCCGUCAAGCCAUGGGAGCCGGGGGUACAUGAAGUCCGUAACCGAAAGGAUCGGCCUAGGGUAA
rnacentral:rRNA from 1 species